UUGAACCUACGGGAGGCAGCAGUGAGGAAUAUUGGUCAAUGGGCGUAAGCCUGAACCAGCCAAGUCGCGUGAGGGAUGAAGGUUCUAUGGAUCGUAAACCUCUUUUAUAGGGGAAUAAAGUGUGGGACGUGUCCUAUUUUGUAUGUACCUUAUGAAUAAGGAUCGGCUAACUCCGUGCCAGCAGCCGCGGUAAUACGGAGGAUCCGAGCGUUAUCCGGAUUUAUUGGGUUUAAAGGGUGCGUAGGCGGCCUUUUAAGUCAGCGGUGAAAGUCUGUGGCUCAACCAUAGAAUUGCCGUUGAAACUG
rnacentral:rRNA from 1 species